GACGCGAUGCCGGAACGGUUAACGGGCAGGUCUUGAAAACCUUGGCAGGGCUGUGGUGGCCCUUGUGGGUUCGAAUCUCACUCGCGUCU
rnacentral:tRNA from 1 species